AAAUUGAAGAGUUUGAUCAUGGCUCAGAUUGAACGCUGGCGGCAGGCCUAACACAUGCAAGUCGAACGGUAGCACAGAGAGCUUGCUCUCGGGUGACGAGUGGCGGACGGGUGAGUAAUGUCUGGGAAACUGCCUGAUGGAGGGGGAUAACUACUGGAAACGGUGGCUAAUACCGCAUAACGUCGCAAGACCAAAGAGGGGGACCUUCGGGCCUCUUGCCAUCAGAUGUGCCCAGAUGGGAUUAGCUGGUUGGUGAGGUAACGGCUCACCAAGGCGACGAUCCCUAGCUGGUCUGAGAGGAUGACCAGCCACA
rnacentral:rRNA from 1 species